rnacentral:rRNA from 1 species
GAUGAACGCUGACAGAAUGCUUAACACAUGCAAGUCGAUGGGGAAGUGGUGCUUGCACCCUGGUAACCAUGGCGGACGGGUGAGUAACGCGUAAGGAACUUGCCUGCGGGACUGGGAUAACAGCAGGAAACUGCUGAUAAUACCGGAUAAGGUCAUUAAGCUGCAUAGCUUAGUGAUGAAAGGAGACGCCUGCGGAGAGCCUUGCGUCCUAUUAGCUAGUUGGAGGGGUAACGGCCCACCAAGGCGAAGAUAGGUAGCCGGCCUGAGAGGGUGGACGGCCACAAGGGGACUGAGAUACGGCCCUUACUCCUACGGGAGGCAGCAGUGGGGAAUAGUGGACAAUGGGGGCAACCCUGAUCCAGCAAUUCUGUGUGCACGAAGACGGUUUUCGGAUUGUAAAGUGCUUUCAGCAGGGAAGAAGGAAGUGACGGUACCUGCAGAAGAAGCGACGGCUAAAUACGUG